rnacentral:pre_miRNA from 1 species
CGAUGAUGAUGACGAUGAUGAUGAGGAUGAUGGUAAUGCGAAGGUAAAAGUUACGUCCUUGACUCCAGAAUCCAGAUCUUACUGCUUUUUUUUUUUUUUGAAUAACAUUAUCAUCAUCAUCAUCAUCAACGAUCUUU